GAUGAACGCUGGCGGCGUGCCUAAUACAUGCAAGUCGAGCGAACAGACGAGGAGCUUGCUCCUCUGACGUUAGCGGCGGACGGGUGAGUAACACGUGGAUAACCUACCUAUAAGACUGGGAUAACUUCGGGAAACCGGAGCUAAUACCGGAUAAUAUAUUGAACCGCAUGGUUCAAUAGUGAAAGACGGUUUUGCUGUCACUUAUAGAUGGAUCCGCGCCGCAUUAGCUAGUUGGUAAGGUAACGGCUUACCAAGGCAACGAUGCGUAGCCGACCUGAGAGGGUGAUCGGCCACACUGGAACUGAGACACGGUCCAGACUCUUACGGGAGGCAGCAGUAGGGAAUCUUCCGCAAUGGGCGAAAGCCUGACGGAGCAACGCCGCGUGAGUGAUGAAGGUCUUCGGAUCGUAAAACUCUGUUAUUAGGGAAGAACAAAUGUGUAAGUAACUAUGCACGUCUUGACGGUACCUAACCAGAAAGCCACGGCUAACUACGUG
rnacentral:rRNA from 1 species